AUGGCUCCCAGCGCGGGGCAGCCACGGCUGCCUCGCCCAGGAAGGCCAAGGGCGGACUCGGGAGGCAGGAAGGCGCUCCCGGAGGACAGCGGAAGGGGCGGUGCUCAGGCCGGGUCUGGGCGUGAAGACGGGGAUCCUGCCGCGCGGCCUUGCUGUGCGCGCUCUGACGGCACUUCCCGGCGUGCCCCGCGCUGCAGCCGGAAGAGGCGGGCCUGGUUCCUGCUGCUGGGGUCGCCAUGUCCCGCAUGUUGGGUGCGCUGCUUCUUCGGCGGCUAUGGGUCCCCGUGGCCUGGGGAAGGGCAGCAGCCGGUGGUUCCCGAGCUUGCAGCUCCAAGGCCGCCCGUGACGGCGUCGAGGGUCCGGUGCUCCGGCGCUCCUACUGGCGUCACCUGAGGCGCCUGGUGCGGGGGCCGCCUGAACCGCCGUUCCUGCACGUGUGCCAGGUCGGGGACCCGGUGCUCCGCGGCGUGGCGGCCCCGGUGGAGCGGGAGCAGCUGGGAGGGCCCGAGCUGCAGCGGCUGGCGCAGCGGCUGGUGCAGGUGAUGCGGCGGCAGCACUGCGUGGGCCUGAGCGCCCCGCAGCUGGGGGUGCCGCGGCAGGUGCUGGCGCUGGAGCUCACCCAGGCGCUGUGUCAGAAGACCCCGCCGCGCCAGCGCGCGCUUCGCCAGAUGGAGCCUUUCCCUUUGCGCGUGUUCGUGAACCCCAGCCUGCGGGUGCUGGACAGCCGCCUGGUCACCUUCCCCGAGGGCUGCGAGAGCGUCGCUGGCUUCCUGGCCUGCGUGCCCCGCUUCCAGGCGGUGGAAAUCUCAGGGCUGAACCCCAAUGGAGAACAGGUGGUGUGGCAGGCAAGCGGGUGGGCAGCCCGCAUCAUCCAGCACGAGAUGGACCACCUGCAGGGCUGCCUGUUCAUUGACAGAAUGGACAGCAGGACAUUCACAAACAUCUGUUGGAUGGAGGUGAAUGACUAAAGCUUUUUACUGGGGCUGAGGAUUCCUGAGACCAAGAUGCAAACACUGCCACUUUUAGCUGGGCACAUCUUACUUGGCAUCAACUUGGAUGACUUGGCCGUGACAGGAAAGUGGACUGCCAAGGCACGCCAGACUGAGCUGGAGGAAGAUGUCAGAAAUGUUUACCCUGAAAUCAGUUAUGGACGAAGUGUUGCCUACAACUUGAGGAGAAAAAUCACCCCCAAAGGAGUGGUCGUUUCCUGACAAUUCUGUUUGGAGAUAGGUGGGGUAACUGCAUUCGUCUGCGGUAGACGUGAGUUCCUUGGACCUGUAUAAUCUCCCAAAGCCAAGAUUUGGUAAUGUAGUCUCCAAAUACCUGAAAGCUGUCUUUAAAAAUGCAGACCAAACCAGACACAGCUGCAGGAUGCGUCUGGCACACAGGGCUCCCAGUUUGCAGUCUCUGAUCUGCAGGCUGAAAAACGGCAAGAACUAUCCGGGUCCCACAGACACCCCCAGCCAAAUUUGUGAGGCCUUAAGGGGAGGAGGCCUUACAUACCUGACUGGAGAACAGGCCUGAGAACUGCAGUGUUCCUGCUUCCUACUCUGCUUUAGAGGAGACAGCAGAGAGAAAACCAGAGGUCUUUAACUGGAAGCAAGAGUUGCCCUUCAAAGAGUCCCAGGUAAGAGUCAAAGAUGAGAUCACUCCGGUGGCUCAAGAAGGGAAAAGGAUUUAUUAGACUAUUUCCAGGAUAGGGACCCAGGGCAGUGGCUGGGUUCAGUGUUCUCACAGUCAGAGGAAGAAAAGGCAGUGGUGAACACCCGCCUGUCUGCCUUCCCC